CAGAAUUACCCCGGUAGAAAUACUGUUAGUAAAUAAGGUGGUAGCUGCCCCCGCUCUUCCAGGCAUUAAAUCCUGAAACCAUAGCAUCCCAAUACCCGCAACAAUGCCGAUAAAUACAGCGUUAAAAAGUUGCAGCGUCAUCAACGCCAGACGGCUAUGAAAUAAAAUCAAUCCGGUGUAAAACAGUACUCCUGCCGCCACUGCUAUGACCAUCAUUCGCCGCUUACCAUAACGUUUGACAUAGUAGCCAGCCAGAAUCAUUGCUGGUAUUUCCAGACCAGCUGCCGUCCCCAUCAGGAAACCCGCCAGUUUGUCUGGCAAUCCUAACUCGCUACUGAUCCACAACG
rnacentral:misc_RNA from 1 species